CUUUAGAGAUGGAAAUCAGUCUAUUGAGAAGAGAGGAGUCCAGAAGGAGAGAGCAGACUCCCCUGGACCCAGCUGUGUCUCCUUGAAGAGCGACCGGUCUAUGGAUCGUCCUCCUGGACUUAAAGAUGGAUGUCCCUCCAGAGAGGAAGGAGUCCAGAAGGAGAGAGCGGACUCCCCUGGACCCAGCUGUGUCUCCUUGAAGAGCAACUGGUCUAUGGAACGUCCUCCUGGACUUAAAGAUGGACGCCCCUCCAGAGAGGAGAGGUAGUAGUUUCCAACAAACUAGUAGUUUUACUGACUGAUAUUUACAAUCAGGAAAUAUUUGUAUUAAAAAGAUACUGUGUGUGUGUGUGUGUGUGUGUGUGUGUGUGUGUGUGUGUGUGUG